GCUCCUAUGGUCUAGGGGUUAAGACAUUCGAUUGCAAUGGAACAAUUCCUUGCAAUUAUCGAUUGGUCCCCGGUUCAAAUCCGGGUGGGAGCU
rfam:Candida tropicalis MYA-3404 genomic scaffold supercont3.1, whole genome shotgun sequence.